UAAGUUGCAGGGUAUAGACCCGAAACCCGGUGAUCUAGCCAUGGGCAGGUUGAAGGUUGGGUAACACUAACUGGAGGACCGAACCGACUAAUGUUGAAAAAUUAGCGGAUGACUUGUGGCUGGGGGUGAAAGGCCAAUCAAACCGGGAGAUAGCUGGUUCUCCCCGAAAGCUAUUUAGGUAGCGCCUCGUGAAUUCAUCUCCGGGGGUAGAGCACUGUUUCGGCAAGGGGGUCAUCCCGACUUACCAACCCGAUGCAAACUGCGAAUACCGGAGAAUGUUAUCACGGGAGACACACGGCGGGUGCUAACGUCCGUCGUGAAGAGGGAAACAACCCAGACCGCCAGCUAAGGUCCCAAAGUCAUGGUUAAGUGGGAAACGAUGUGGGAAGGCCCAGACAGCCAGGAUGUUGGCUUAGAAGCAGCCAUCAUUUAAAGAAAGCGUAAUAGCUCACUGGUCGAGUCGGCCUGCGCGGAAGAUGUAACGGGGCUAAACCAUGCACCGAAGCUGCGGCAGCGACACUAUGUGUUGUUGGGUAGGGGAGCGUUCUGUAAGCCUGUGAAGGUGGCCUGUGAGGGUUGCUGGAGGUAUCAGAAGUGCGAAUGCUGACAUAAGUAACGAUAAAGCGGGUGAAAAGCCCGCUCGCCGGAAGACCAAGGGUUCCUGUCCAACGUUAAUCGGGGCAGGGUGAGUCGACCCCUAAGGCGAGGCCGAAAGGCGUAGUCGAUGGGAAACAGGUUAAUAUUCCUGUACUUGGUGUUACUGCGAAGGGGGGACGGAGAAGGCUAUGUUGGCCGGGCGACGGUUGUCCCGGUUUAAGCGUGUAGGCUGGUUUUCCAGGCAAAUCCGGAAAACCAAGGCUGAGGCGUGAUGACGAGGCACUACGGUGCUGAAGCGACAAAUGCCCUGCUUCCAGGAAAAGCCUCUAAGCAUCAGGUAACAUCAAAUCGUACCCCAAACCGACACAGGUGGUCAGGUAGAGAAUACCAAGGCGCUUGAGAGAACUCGGGUGAAGGAACUAGGCAAAAUGGUGCCGUAACUUCGGGAGAAGGCACGCUGAUAUGUAGGUGAAGCGACUUGCUCGUGGAGCUGAAAUCAGUCGAAGAUACCAGCUGGCUGCAACUGUUUAUUAAAAACACAGCACUGUGCAAACACGAAAGUGGACGUAUACGGUGUGACGCCUGCCCGGUGCCGGAAGGUUAAUUGAUGGGGUUAGCGGUAACGCGAAGCUCUUGAUCGAAGCCCCGGUAAACGGCGGCCGUAACUAUAACGGUCCUAAGGUAGCGAAAUUCCUUGUCGGGUAAGUUCCGACCUGCACGAAUGGCGUAAUGAUGGCCAGGCUGUCUCCACCCGAGACUCAGUGAAAUUGAACUCGCUGUGAAGAUGCAGUGUACCCGCGGCAAGACGGAAAGACCCCGUGAACCUUUACUAUAGCUUGACACUGAACAUUGAGCCUUGAUGUGUAGGAUAGGUGGGAGGCUUUGAAGUGUGGACGCCAGUCUGCAUGGAGCCGACCUUGAAAUACCACCCUUUAAUGUUUGAUGUUCUAACGUUGGCCCGUAAUCCGGGUUGCGGACAGUGUCUGGUGGGUAGUUUGACUGGGGCGGUCUCCUCCUAAAGAGUAACGGAGGAGCACGAAGGUUGGCUAAUCCUGGUCGGACAUCAGGAGGUUAGUGCAAUGGCAUAAGCCAGCUUGACUGCGAGCGUGACGGCGCGAGCAGGUGCGAAAGCAGGUCAUAGUGAUCCGGUGGUUCUGAAUGGAAGGGCCAUCGCUCAACGGAUAAAAGGUACUCCGGGGAUAACAGGCUGAUACCGCCCAAGAGUUCAUAUCGACGGCGGUGUUUGGCACCUCGAUGUCGGCUCAUCACAUCCUGGGGCUGAAGUAGGUCCCAAGGGUAUGGCUGUUCGCCAUUUAAAGUGGUACGCGAGCUGGGUUUAGAACGUCGUGAGACAGUUCGGUCCCUAUCUGCCGUGGGCGCUGGAGAACUGAGGGGGGCUGCUCCUAGUACGAGAGGACCGGAGUGGACGCAUCACUGGUGUUCGGGUUGUCAUGCCAAUGGCACUGCCCGGUAGCUAAAUGCGGAAGAGAUAAGUGCUGAAAGCAUCUAAGCACGAAACUUGCCCCGAGAUGAGUUCUCCCUGAGACUUAGAGUCUCCUGAAGGAACGUUGAAGACGACGACGUUGAUAGGCCGGGUGUGUAAGCGCAGCGAUGCGUUGAGCUAACCGGUACUAAUGAACCGUGAGGCUUAACCUU
rnacentral:rRNA from 1 species